rnacentral:rRNA from 1 species
GGCGAACGGGUGAGUAAUGUAUCGGAACGUAUCCGGAAGUGGGGGAUAACUAGCCGAAAGGUUAGCUAAUACCGCAUAUGCCCUGAGGGGGAAAGGGGGGGAUCCGCAAGGACCUCUCGCUUUCGGAGCGGCCGAUAUCAGAUUAGCUAGUUGGUGGGGUAAAGGCCUACCAAGGCGACGAUCUGUAGCGGGUCUGAGAGGAUGAUCCGCCACACUGGGACUGAGACACGGCCCAGACUCC